CCUACGGGAGGCAGCAGUGGGGAAUAUUGCACAAUGGGGGAAACCCUGAUGCAGCGACGCCGCGUGAGUGAAGAAGUAUUUCGGUACGUAAAGCUCUAUCAGCAGGGAAGAAAAUGACGGUACCUGACUAAGACGCCCCGGCUAACUACGUGCCAGCAGCCGCGGUAAUACGUAGGGGGCAAGCGUUAUCCGGAUUUACUGGGUGUAAAGGGAGCGUAGACGGCAGCGCAAGUCUGGAGUGAAAUCCCAUGGCUUAACCAUGGAACUGCUUUGGAAACUGUGCAGCUAGAGUGCAGGAGAGGUAAGCGGAAUUCCUAGUGUAGCGGUGAAAUGCGUAGAUAUUAGGAGGAACACCAGUGGCGAAGGCGGCUUACUGGACUGUAACUGACGUUGAGGCUCGAAAGCGUGGGGAGCAAACAGGAUUAGAUACCCCAGUAGUC
rnacentral:rRNA from 1 species